rnacentral:rRNA from 1 species
GACGUAGGGCGCGAGCGUUGUCCGGAUUUAUUGGGUGUAAAGAGCUCGUAGGCGGUUUGUCGCGUCUGCUGUGAAAACUCGGGGCUUAACCCCGGGCCUGCAGUGGGUACGGGCAGACUAGAGUGCGGUAGGGGAGACUGGAAUUCCUGGUGUAGCGGUGAAAUGCGCAGAUAUCAGGAGGAACACCGGUGGCGAAGGCGGGUCUCUGGGCCGUAACUGACGCUGAGGAGCGAAAGCGUGGGGAGCGAACAGG